AUAAACGCUGGCGGCGUGCCUAACACAUGCAAGUCGAACGCACUCUUGCAAGAGAGUGAGUGGCGGACGGGUGAGUACCACGUGGGUACCUACCUUGAGGUGAGGAAUACCACCGAGAAAUCGGUGACAAUACCGCAUACGCUCGUAAGAGCAAAGUCUCUUUUCGGAGAGACGCCCCAAGAUGGGCCUGCGCCUGAUUAGCUGGUUGGUGAGGUAAAAGCUCACCAAGGCGACGAUCAGUAGCUGGUCUGAGAGGAUGAUCAGCCACACUGGGAUUGAGAACGGCCCAGACUCCUACGGGGGGCAGCAGUGAGGAAUUUUCGUCAAUGGGGGCAACCCUGAACGAGCAACGCCGCGUGCAGGAUGACACUUUUCGGAGCGUAAACUGCUUUUCUGGGGGAAGAGACCGGACGGUACCCCAGGAAGAAGCCCCGGCUAACUACGUGCCAGCAGCCGCGGUAAUACGUAGGGGGCAAGCGUUGUCCGGAGUUACUGGGCGUAAAGCGCCCGCAGGCGGUCUUCUAAGUUCAGACUGACAAUCCCCAGCUUAACUGGGGAGGGUGUAUGAAAACUAGGAGACUUGAGGCAGAGAGAGGGACAGGGAAUUCCGGGUGGAGUGGUGAAAUGCGUAGAUAUCCGGAGGAACACCAAAGGCGAAGGCACUGUCCUGGCUCUGACCUGACGCUGAGGGGCGAAAGCUAGGGGAGCGAACGGGAUUAGAUACCCCGGUAGUCCUAGCCGUAAACGAUGACCACUAGAUGUUCGGGGUAUCGACCCCCUGAGUAUCGAAGCCAACGCGAUAAGUGGUCCGCCUGGGGAGUACGGUCGCAAGAUUAAAACUCAAAGGAAUUGACGGGGACCCGCACAAGCAGCGGAGCGUGUGGUUUAAUUCGAUGCAACGCGAAGAACCUUACCAGGAUUUGACAUGACCCUGACGAUGCUAGAGAUAGCACUUCCUUCGGGACAGGGUCACAGGUGCUGCAUGGCUGUCGUCAGCUCGUGCCGUGAGGUGUUGGGUUAAGUCCCGCAACGAGCGCAACCCUCGUGGGUAGUUGUAAUUUUCUACUCAGACUGCCGCGAUCAACGUGGAGGAAGGUGGGGAUGACGUCAAGUCAGCACGGCCCUUACAUCCUGGGCGACACACACGCUACAAUGGCACGGACAAUGAGUUGCGAACCCGCGAGGGGGAGCCAAUCUCCUCAAACCGUGUCUCAGUUCAGAUUGGAGGCUGCAACCCGCCUCUAUGAAGUUGGAGUUGCUAGUAACCGUAGGUCAGCACACUACGGUGAAUACGUUCCCGGGUCUUGUACACACCGCCCGUCACACCACGAAAGUCGGCAACCCCUGAAGCCGCUGGGCUAACCCGUAAGGGAGGCAAGCGUCGAGGGUGGGGUCGGUGAUUGGGGUGAAGUCGUAACAAGGU
rnacentral:rRNA from 1 species